rnacentral:rRNA from 1 species
GACCAGACUUGCGCCCGUCGGAUCAACCGUCGCUUGCGGCGGCGCACUCCGGCGGGCUCAGGCCAGCAUCAGUUCGUCCGGGGGGAGAAAGGCGGCGGGAAUGUGGCUCUUCGGAGUGUUAUAGCCCGCCGUGUAAUACCCUCGGGUGGACUGAGGACCGCGCGUAUGCAAGGAUGCUGGCGUAAUGGUCGUCAGCGACCCGUCUUGA